rnacentral:rRNA from 1 species
GGAAGUAAAAGUCGUAACAAGGUUUCCGUAGGUGAACCUGCGGAAGGAUCAUUAUUGAUUUUUAAAGAAAAGUAAGCUCAAGUUGUGCUGGCUUGUUCAAAUGAGAGGCAUGUGCAUGCUUUGGGUUUCACUUUUUCUUACAUUCACACCAUGUGCACCUUUUGUAGGUCUUUCGAGAUCUAUGUAUUUUUAUUAUACUCCAAUGUAUGUUCAUAGAAUGUCUUUUAUCUUAUUGCGCAGUUGCUUUUUCUUUUUGAAAAGUGAUUGAUGCAAGUAAGUUGUAAAAACAACUUUCAGCAAUGGAUCUCUUGGCUCUCGCAUCGAUGAAGAACGCAGCGAAUUGCGAUAUGUAAUGUGAAUUGCAGAUUUUCCGUGAAUCAUCGAAUUUUUGAACGCACCUUGCACUCCUUGGUAUUCCGAGGAGUAUGCCUGUUUGAGUGUCAUUAAAUUCUCAACGCCUUACAUUUUUGUUGUUUCAAAAGUGUACAUGGAUGGUUGGAUUGUGGAGGGAAUGCUGGCAAUUUCUGUCGGCUCCUCUGAAAUGCAUUAGCAAGGAUAAGUUUUGCAAUUGUUGGUGUGAUAAUGAUCAUCGCAUUUGACUGAAGCUUUUGAGUCUUUGCUUACAAUAGUCCUUUAGGACAGUCUUAUUGAAAUUUUGACCUCAAAUCAGGUAGGACUACCCGCUGAACUUAAGCAUAUCAAUAAGCGGAGGAAAAGAAACUAACAAGGAUUCCCCUAGUAACUGCGAGUGAAGAGGGAAGAGCUCAAAUUUUAAAUCUGGCAGUUCUUGCGGCUGCCCGAGUUGUAAUCUAGAGAAGUGCUUUCCGCGCUGGACCGUGUACAAGUCUCCUGGAAUGGAGCAUCACAGAGGGUGAGAAUCCCGUCUCUGACACGGACUACCAGGGCUUUUGUGAUGUGCUCUCAACGAGUCGAGUUGUUUGGGAAUGCAGCUCAAAUUGGGUGGUAAAUUCCAUCUAAAGCUAAAUACAGGCGAGAGACCGAUAGCNNNCAAGUACCGUGAGGAAAGAUGAAAAGAACUUUGGAAAGAGAGUUAAACAGUACGUGAAAUUGCUGAAAGGGAAACGCUUGAAGUCAGUCGCGUUGAUUGGGGAUCAACCUUACUUUUGUUGGUGCAUUUCCUAAUUGAUGGU